UACUCACUUCACUUAGCAUCAGUUCAUGUAAGUCUCUCUAGGUUUUUUUCUGUAAUCAGCUUGCAGAAAUUGUUAAAUGCAGUGGAGUUUCUAAUGGUCAGGCCCCAGCCACGAGGAGAAAGGUCCCUGACUUGGGGUGAAGUUAGAGAAUGUCUCUGCCCACAGCUGCUACUCCCUGGACAGGGGUGAGCGGUCUCUCCUUCAGGUCUUGUUCUCCCUCCCAGCAAGAUUUGGGGGCUUAGAUGAGCUGCCCCGCCCUCAAGUUCCUGAGCGGAGUCGCCAGAGGAGCCCUCGCCAUUCGGGACGCACUGCGCUGGACAUAGGUCUGUAGGUGUCCCGGAAACUGAGGAGACCCCAGUCUCUGUCCUGAGUUCGAGCAGAAGGAACACUGGAGAAACUGCGUCACACCACAGGGGCUGAAUUGGUCCCCAGCGUCCUGCUCCCCGUUAAAUGGACCAUCAGCGUUCUUACCAGCAGCCUACAGAAGGGACCUGAUGCAUUUCCUGCUGCAUCUCCACCCUGGAUGACACCCCGGUUUUAACCUGCUCCCGAGAUCUGGGCUUCAAUCUUUGGACUCUCAACUGCCCUUCAGCCUGGAGAACAUGGGACAACUAACUGACUGGGAACAACUGACCGGGACAAAACACCCCUUAGAUGCCCUGCUGCCAUCCCCAAAUCCCACACCUCACGCCUCACCUCCUGGCAUGAAUCCCCAAAUCUCUAUGACCCUUGCCAGCUCGAAGCAGUUAAGAGGAGAUCCGCGCCCCUUUUCCCACAUGCCUUUAGAGGUGACAGCUUGAGGGGGGGAUAAAGAGGGGACCCCUGAACUUGGAAAAUCCUGGAAGGAGAAAAUCUUCAAUUCUGUCUCAAUAACUGAUUUUGCCCCAUGUCUUUUUCCUUAAAUGAAUUUAAGUUCCAACUGCUUGAGGGGGGAAUGAUGUG